rnacentral:rRNA from 1 species
AUUGAACGCUGGCGGCAUGCCUUACACAUGCAAGUCGAACGGUAACGGGCCUUCGGGUGCCGACGAGUGGCGAACGGGUGAGUAAUACAUCGGAACGUGCCCGAUCGUGGGGGAUAACGAGGCGAAAGCUUUGCUAAUACCGCAUACGAUCUACGGAUGAAAGCAGGGGACCGCAAGGCCUUGCGCGGACGGAGCGGCCGAUGGCAGAUUAGGUAGUUGGUGGGAUAAAAGCUUACCAAGCCGACGAUCUGUAGCUGGUCUGAGAGGAUGAUCAGCCACACUGGGACUGAGACACGGCCCAGACUCCUAAGGGAGGCAGUAGUGGGGAAUUUUGGACAAUGGGCGCAAGCCUGAUCCAGCCAUGCCGCGUGCAGGAUGAAGGCCUUCGGGUUGUAAACUGCUUUUGUACGGAACGAAAAGCCUUCUUUUAAUACAGGAGGGUCAUGACGGUACCGUAAGAAUAAGCACCGGCUAACUACGUG